AACGAACGCUGGCGGCAGGCUUAACACAUGCAAGUCGAGCGCCCCGCAAGGGGAGCGGCAGACGGGUGAGUAACGCGUGGGAAUCUACCCAUCACUACGGAACAACUCCGGGAAACUGGAGCUAAUACCGUAUACGUCCUUCGGGAGAAAGAUUUAUCGGUGAUGGAUGAGCCCGCGUUGGAUUAGCUAGUUGGUGGGGUAAUGGCCCACCAAGGCGACGAUCCAUAGCUGGUCUGAGAGGAUGAUCAGCCACACUGGGACUGAGACACGGCCCAGACUCCUACGGGAGGCAGCAGUGGGGAAUAUUGGACAAUGGGCGCAAGCCUGAUCCAGCCAUGCCGCGUGAGUGAUGAAGGCCCUAGGGUUGUAAAGCUCUUUCACCGGUGAAGAUAAUGACGGUAACCGGAGAAGAAGCCCCGACUAACUUCGUGCCAGCCGCCGCCGUAA
rnacentral:rRNA from 1 species